UGAGACUGGGAGCUGGAGAGUGAGCUGGAGGAAGAUCUGUAGUGUCAUGAGGCAAAGUGCCAGCCAAGCAGGGACGCUCUGGCAUCAGACAGCUUGGGUUCUAAUCCUGGCUCCACCACCCACUAGCUGUGUGAUCUUGGGAAAGUGACUUCAUCUCUCUGUGCGACCAGAGACCAUGCUGGGAAGCCUGGCUGCUCUUUGAGGACUGAGAUGAACUUAGCAAUGCAGAGAAGAACAAAGAGAGGCUUGUGCUCACCGUGUUCCAGAGGGAUCACCGUGUUCCCUUUGUUCAUUUGAGGACAUGAAUACAACUAUGGUCUUUGGACAAAAGGCAUAUGCCAGGCAGUAUGAAUGGUCUCUCUUGUCUGUGCAAUUAGUAUGUAAGAGCACGUGAACUGGUGCCUGGGACCUCUACCUGUUUUAGUAUGAUAGCACCACAGUAAAGGGCCUGGACUUUGUAUGAGCUUGGGAAAAUCAUGUCACCUCUGCAAGUCUUGGUUUCCCUGGGUGUUAAAUGUCAAUUUAAGUAAAAUGCUAUCUACUUUGUUUUGGAGACUUUCUAUGAGAAUCUGAUAAACUAUAACCUGUGAAAGAGUUUCAAAAGUUGUAAAAGAUUGAAGGGAAACUGAGAUUCAGUGAGACAAGGACAUUUGUUCAAAUAAAUCUCGUAACUCUGAAGAGGCCUGGAUCUGAGAAGAAUGGGUGCCAGGUAGUCUGACUGGGCUAGUUUUGCCCCAUCAUGGCCCUGUGACAUCCGUUCUGCCUCCCAGCUAGACUGGACUCCCCCAGACCAGGAACUGUGUCCUGGCUCUUCCUAGCACCCAGCUCAGGGAGGGCUAUCAAGGCUGCUGAAAGCAGCUCAGUGAAUGUCAGUCUCUGAGCAGAUGGGAAGAACUGAGGAUGAAUUUGUCCACUUAAAUGGGAAUGGAAGCUUAAGAAUCAAGAUAUUUGAAGAUAAGGGAAACUGAGGUACAGAGGAGGGGAAGAGCCAUGAUUGACUUCAUGCAACUCAUCAGGGAGGGCACCCAGAUUUACACGUGGAUCUGUGUCACUACAAAGCAGUGCCCUUGACUUAACACUCCAUCACUUUCCAUACAAGCUUCAAACUGAACUCCACCUUCAUUAGCUUGGUGAGCGCAGACCGCUGAACUCUUCUAACAUCUGUCUUAGAGGUUAUGUGUUGGCUGCUGCGUUCAGAGCUAUCCUAAAAGUAACUGAAACAAGGGAUUUUUGACUCCAUGGCUAAACAGUUUCUGGGGAGCAGACCUUGAUUCUACCAUUACUUAGAAAACAAAUCAAAUUAGAGUCAGACUAGUGAUGUUGUCAGAACUUUUCAAACAUAAAGACCCAUGAAUGGACAUGUACACUUGGGAUCAAAAGCACUCUCCUCUUCCAAACAGCAGUCUACACUUGGCCUUUUGAGAGGCUGAGCUAUUGCCAAGGACUAUUUAGAUGGAAGAUUUGAUUGUUGGUCAAGGAGACACUGAAGAAGAGAUAAGAUGGUGUACUGGAAUGGAAGGAAGGCUCUGGACAUCAGAACUUUGGGCCACUGUACUGCUGUGUAAAUUUGCGAAACCUACUUAAUCCUUAUGGACUGUUUCCUCAUCUGGAAAAUGAGUUAAAUGAGAUCCAUUUUAUAAAAUUGUUGUAAUGAUUAUAUAAGUAAACACAUAGUAAUAUUAUUUGAUUUUAUUAUUAUUAUUAUGACUUGUCACUCAAAGCAUUUAGCUUUGGUGUCUCUAAUAUUCAGUACUCACAUUUAUGUUCAAAUUUGGAUGCUAGGUAGAAAUGAAGACUUUGUAUCUGCCACCAGAGAAGGCUAUUUAUUAUUUGUCAUUGCCUGUCACGAACUCACAAAGAUAGUAUUUGCCUAUCCAAAGGUAUCUAAUUCCUCAGUUUCUUAUGUGACUAUAAAGGGGCCUACUUUGAUCUUACCAUGAACUCAAAUCCUUUCGAAAUUUCAAUUUGUC
rnacentral:lncRNA from 10 species